UACGAACUGUGCGACCGUUAUUCGGAAUCACUGGGCUUACAGGGUGCGUAGGCGGCUAUUCAGGUCAGGUGUGAAAGCCCCCGGCUCAACCGGGGAACUGCGCUUGAAACCGAGUGGCUCGAGUCAGCUAGAGGUACACGGAACUUCCAGUGGAGCGGUGAAAUGUGUUGAUAUUGGAAGGAACACCGGAGGCGAAAGCGGUGUACUGGGGCUGGUCUGACGCUGAGGCACGAAAGCCAGGGGAGCGAACGGG
rnacentral:rRNA from 1 species